rnacentral:rRNA from 1 species
GACGAACGCUGGCGGCGUGCUUAACACAUGCAAGUCGAACGGUGAAGCGCCUUCCUUUUUGGUGGGUGUGGAUGAGUGGCGAACGGGUGAGUAACACGUGAGUAACCUGCCCCCUUCUUCUGGAUAACCGCAUGAAAGUGUGGCUAAUACGGGAUAUUCUGGGUCUGUCGCAUGAUGGGUCUGUGAAAGAUGUUGUUUCGGGGGGGGAUGGGCUGGCGGCCGGUGAGGUGGUUGGGGGGGUGAUGGACUACGAGGGCGGGGACGGUUCGCCGGCCUGAGGGGGUGGCCGGUCACACGGGGUGAGAGACCCCAUCGAGACUGCUAUGGGAGGCAGCAGUCGGGAAUAUUGAGCAGUGGGGGAAAGUCUGCUGCGGCGGCGCCGCGGAUGCGGUGAAGCCCUUCGGGUUGUGAACCCCUUUGGCCAGUGAAGCAGGCCCGCCUCGUUUGUGGGUGGGUUGACGGUAGCUGGAUAAGAAGCGCCGGCUAACUACGUG